GACAGCAGCCGCCACGGGAAUACAGAGGGUGCGAGCGUUAAUCGGAUUUACUGGGCGUAAAGCGUGCGUAGGCGGCUUCUUAAGUCGGAUGUGAAAUCCCUGAGCUUAACUUAGGAAUUGCAUUCGAUACUGGGAAGCUAGAGUAUGGGAGAGGAUGGUAGAAUUCCAGGUGUAGCGGUGAAAUGCGUAGAGAUCUGGAGGAAUACCGAUGGCGAAGGCAGCCAUCUGGCCUAAUACUGACGCUGAGGUACAAAAGCAUGGGGAGCAAACAGGAUUAGAUACCCCCGUAGUCCCUGUCUCUUAUAC
rnacentral:rRNA from 1 species